ensembl:snRNA U6 U6 spliceosomal RNA
GUGCUCCCUGUGGCAACACAUAUGUGAUAAUUGGAAUGAUACAGAGGAGAUUAGGGUCGCCCCUGCCCAAGGGUAACAUGUAAAUUCAUGAAGCAUUCCAUAUGUUG